rnacentral:tRNA from 1 species
GCGGGUGUAGCUCAGUCGGUUAGAGCGCUAGAUUGUGGAUCUAGAGGUCGGGGGUUCGAUUCCCCUCACUCGCCCCA